rnacentral:rRNA from 1 species
GUCGAGAAUCUUUCACAAUGGGGGCAACCCUGAUGGAGCGACGCCGCGUGGAGGAUAAGGUCUUCGGAUUGUAAACUCCUGUCAUGCGUGAACAAGGUUGCUUGGUUAAUACCUGGGCAAAUUGAUGGUAACGCAAGAGGAAGAGACGGCUAACUCUGUGCCAGCAGCCGCGGUAAUACAGAGGUCUCAAGCGUUGUUCGGAAUCACUGGGCGUAAAGGGUGCGUAGGUGGCGUGGUAAGUAAGAUGGGAAAGCCCGGGGCUCAACCUCGGAACUGCAUCAGAUACUGCCAUGCUAGAGUACUGGAGAGGUGACUAGAAUUCUCGGUGUAGCAGUGAAAUGCGUAGAUAUCGAGAGGAAUACCAAAGGCGUAGGCAGGUCACUGGACAGUUACUGACACUGAGGCACGAAGGCCAGGGGAGCGAACGGGAUUAGAAACCCGGGUAGUCC